rnacentral:rRNA from 1 species
ACGCUAGCUACAGGCUUAACACAUGCAAGUUCGAGGGGAAACGGCAUUUAGUGCUUGCACCGAGUGGACGUCGACCGGCGCACGGGUGAGUAACGCGUAUCCAACCUACCCAUUACUGUGGGAUAACCUGCCGAAAGGCAGACUAAUACCGCAUAGUCUUCGAUGACGGCAUCAGAUUUGAAGUAAAGAUUUAUCGGUAAUGGAUGGGGAUGCGUCUGAUUAGCUUGUUGGCGGGGUAACGGCCCACCAAGGCGACGAUCAGUAGGGGUUCUGAGAGGAAGGUCCCCCACAUUGGAACUGAGACACGGUCCAAACUCCUACGGGAGGCAGCAGUGAGGAAUAUUGGUCAGUGGGCGCGAGCCUGAACCAGCCAAGUAGCGUGCAGGAUGUCGGCCCUAUGGGUUGUAAACUGCUUUUGUAUGGGGAUAAAGUCAAUCACGUGUGAUUGUUUGCAGGUACCAUACGAAUAAGGACCGGCUAAUUCCGUGCCAGCAGCCGCGGUAAUACGGAAGGUCCGGGCGUUAUCCGGAUUUAUUGGGUUUAAAGGGAGCGUAGGCCGGAGAUUAAGUGUGUUGUGAAAUGUAGACGCUCAACGUCUGACUUGCAGCGCAUACUGGUUUCCUUGAGUACGCACAACGUUGGCGGAAUUCGUCGUGUAGCGGUGAAAUGCUUAGAUAUGACGAAGAACUCCGAUUGCGAAGGCAGCUGACGGGAGCGCAACUGACGCUUAAGCUCGAAGGUGCGGGUAUCGAACAGGAUUAGAUACCCUGGUAGUCCGCACAGUAAACGAUGGAUGCCCGCUGUUGGUACCUGGUAUCAGCGGCUAAGCGAAAGCAUUAAGCAUCCCACCUGGGGAGUACGCCGGCAACGGUGAAACUCAAAGGAAUUGACGGGGGCCCGCACAAGCGGAGGAACAUGUGGUUUAA